CUUCAACAGAUACAUGUUAAUGGUAAUUUAUGGCACACAACUAUCACAGUAGCACAGUUUAUGUAACAUGUAUGCGUAUGUGUUUAGCUGAUUUGAAUAAAGGCAACAGUAGUAUACCGGAGUGCAAAAGUCAUAAAUUGAUUUGAGAGAAAACAAUUCCGGGUUAAAAAACCAAAACCGAGGGAAACACAUCAACUAUAAGAGGAAAACGAAGGAAACAGGAACACCGUAGUGCAACAAAAAAAAAAUGCCAGCACACAUAGAAACGAACUAAUAGAUAACUGCCAUAUUCUUCGGUACAGGACAUUUUAAGAAAAAAAAAAUGAUGGGUUGAACCUGGUUCACUGACUAUCCAAACCUACCGCUUUAUGACAAUGUUAAAAACUUUUAACUAUCUUCAAAACACUACAUGACAGAAAUACAACACAAACACACGCAAGAACAUUCAUAUAACAAAGAACUGAACUAUCAUGGCUUAUCUAGUAAGUUUGGUUCAAUUGUAAAGACCGACAUU
rnacentral:lncRNA from 1 species